AUCAUUUUCAAUUGUAUUCUUUUUAAUAUAACUGUGUGGAAUUUUGGAGUCAGUAUCUGAUCAUUUUCUUUUAACUUUCAAAACAUUUAUUAAACAACCUGAAAGGAAGUAUUUUGCCAAUUAGCAAUCCUAACUGGUAUGUGUGACAUGCCCCAUCAAUUAAAACUUUUUAAAUUUUGGCCAGUCUAGAAGGCAAGGUUUUUACAUAUCUCUUAUUUUUGAGUUCUAUUUCCGGUAAGUUUGACUUUAUUUAUUUAUUUAUUUAUUUAUUUAUUUAUUUAUUUAUUUCUUCUACACCACAGGCAAAUUCUGAAGAGUCAGAACGUGCUAGAAGGAGGACAUGACCUAUGUAUUACCUACAAUAUGUCACAAAUUAUCUCCCCAUAUUAAGAAGAAAGCUAGUAAAAGCACAUUACUGAGUAUGUGGUGAACCUGUUCCAACACAUACAAUAAAUGACAUGUCAGACCAGGCUGGCUUUAUGGGUGUUGCAACAGGAUGCAUUUGGCCAUUUUGAAGUGACUUACUACCAAAAAUAUCUCCUGCUUUGUUUAGCCACUGUGCAGAUAUUUUUAUUUUUUACCAUUCCUUUUAAAUAUAUUUUAAGUAAGAAGCUAGAUACGAGAACAAUUUAAGCAGGAGUAACUCUGUAUUACAUUUAGCUUGGAAAUAUUUAUUAUACUUAAUGGAAUACAACAUCUGUGGCACUGAUGAAAGGGAAGUCCAUUUUCAUGGUAGAUCUCAAAUCAAUAAUUACUCUUUCUGAGGUAAGGAACAAAAUUUAACAUUACUGCUUUGAUAUAUUAGUAAAUUUUGAGUUUCUGUAGGAGGGGGAUAUGUAAUUUACUUUCUAUUUAUAUUCGUUUAUAGUAAUACUAGAAGUCCUAGUAGAAAUGUUCAACUUAUACUACUUUCUGUCAUUUUUAUAGGUUAAUACCCUCCAAAUAUUUAAAAAUCAACCGAUAAGUCUUUCACAUCUAGUGUUAUUUCUUAGACAUACAUAUAUGUAUCUAAGAAAUACACACACACACACACACACACACACACACACACACACCAGUAAAAUGAUGGCCUUGCAUGCAAUAGUUCUUUCCGAUAUUCCUCAACUAAAUCCACCUGGCCAUAGUCUGAUGGGUUUUCAGGGCAUUGACAACUUUAGAUAAUUUAAGUCUCACUAGCGCUACAAGCUAAAGUCAUUAGUAUGAGAGAUUUACUACACUGUUGUAGAUCAGGUAUCUUUUCACUUUCUAUAAUGCCUCCAUUUUAGGCAUACUUUCUUAGUUUGAGAACAAAAUAUCACACACACACACACACACACACACACUUAAACACACAAAGAUAUAUGCAAGUGAUUAAACCCAUUAAUAUUUCUAUUUUCCUGAAGAUAAAAAGAAACUUACAAAUCUUUGUUAGCACUUCAUCCAAUGCUAAUUAUAUGUUACUAUUCUCUAAUAUUUUAGUUCGCUGAUAUUUUGUUAUCCCACAUUUAGACAUCAUCAAGAUCUUUAUUAUUAUUAUGUUAGACAGUUCAUAUUUAUUUAUAGUACCCAUGAUUACUAAUAUCUGGCUCUCUUGCUUCUUAGACAUUAUUCUUGCUUCUCAGACAUUCUUUCUGG
rnacentral:lncRNA from 10 species